GCAUAUCAAUAAGCGGAGGAAAAGAAACCAACAGGGAUUGCCCUAGUAACGGCGAGUGAAGCGGCAACAGCCCAAAUUUGAAAUCUGGCCCCCUGGGGUCCGAGUUGUAAUUUGGAGAGGAUGCCUCGGUGGAGGCCCCGGCCGAAGUGCCUUUGAACGGGCCGUCAGAGAGGGUGAGAACCCCGUCCGCGGUCGCCGGCCCCCACCGUGUGAGGCUCCUUCGACGAGUCGAGUUGUUUGGGAAUGCAGCUCUAAAUGGGAGGUAAAUUCCUUCCAAGGCUAAAUAUCCGCCAGAGACCGAUAGCGCACAAGUAGAGUGAUCGAAAGGUGAAAAGCACUUUGAAAAGAGGGUGAAACAGCACGUGAAAUUGUUGAAAGGGAAGCGCUUGCAACCAGAGUCGUCCGCGGGGGCUCCACCGACCCUCGGGCCCGGUGUACUCCCCCGCGGCCGAGCCAGCAUCAGCUCGGCCGGUCGGAUAAAGGCCGUGGGAAUGUGACACCCUCGGGUGUGUUAUAGCCCGCGGCACAAUACGGCCUGGCCGGGCUGAGGUCAGCGCCUUUGGCACGGAUGCUGGCGUAAUGGUUGUCAGCGGCCCGUCUUGAAACACGGACCAAGGAGUCUAACAUCUAUGCGAGUGUUCGGGUGUCAAACCCGUGAGCGGAAUGAAAGUGAACGGAGGUGGGAGCCCUCGGGCGCACCAUCGACCGAUCCGGAUGUCUUCGGAUGGAUUUGAGUAUGAGCAUAGCUGUUGGGACCCGAAAGAUGGUGAACUAUGCGUGAAUAGGGUGAAGCCAGAGGAAACUCUGGUGGAGGCUCGCAGCGGUUCUGACGUGCAAAUCGAUCGUCAAAUUUGCGCAUAGGGGCGAAAGACUUAUCGAACCAUCUAGUAGCUGGUUCCUGCG
rnacentral:rRNA from 1 species